rnacentral:lncRNA from 12 species
UAAGAAUAUGUUGUAACAUGAAUUAUAAUUAGUAAUUAGUUUUUUCAGUUCAUGCAUGAGAGACUCUAAUUUAAACAAUGAAAAUAAAAACAAUGACACCAAAACAAGAUCAGUGCUUGCAGCCAAGUUGCUCGAGUGACUAUCUCCAGUGCAUUUUUCUCUUACUGAAAUCUCAUCUCUGGAUUUUAACAUGUUAGUUCUCUCUCUCCCUCAUUUAAUUUGUAAGCAAAGAAAUAAGAUGAUAACCCAUCUCCAACAGCUGUCCAGAUUCCACCGCAGCCCAUGUGAGUCCUGACGGACACCAGUUGUCUUGGGAGUCUUCUUAGUAUGUUCAGAGAAACCUGUAGUUUUUUUUUUUUUUUUUUUGUUUCAGUUAGCUUUAUGGAUGUUUCAAGCUGGGGCCUGCAUUUUUCUGUGCAAACCUGGGCUUAAACAACUUGAAACUGGUCUACAAACUGAAAGAAGAGAAAAUUUGCUUUGCGGUUAUCACAUCAGACUUCCUUCCUUCCCUGGGCCUCAUCCAGGGAACAGUGUUGCUGACCUUCGGAGCCACAAAGGCCACAGAUAAUGGGGCACAGCAGGUCGAUGGAGUCAGCAGAGGGGAGAGUCCAUGGUGAGGAUGCACACACACACACACACACACACACACUCACAUGCUCACACACACUCACCCGAGAAAACUGUUAGAGUUGCCAGCCAGAAUCUCACAUUGUAAAAAUGUUUAGAAAAAUAAGGCUAAGAGGCAGAUGAAAC